CAGAAAAUCACGUUAUCAAUAACGAUAAUAAUUUAAAUGGUAUAUAUAAUGAUUGACAUGGAAGCAAACGAUACAAAUUCAUUUAACAAUAGUUCGUUUCAGAAAAUUACGUUUUCUCUAUUAAAACAU